CACAGAGACUGGUUAUNAUUCGGGGACCGGAACACAGGCGCUGCAUGUCNUGUCGUCAGCUCGUGUCGUGAGAUGUUGGGUUAAGUCCCGCAACGAGCGCAACCUCGCCCUUAGUUGCCAGCUAUUUAGUUGGGCACUCUAAGGGGACUGCCGGUGAUAAGCCGAGAGGAAGGUGGGGAUGACUGUCAAGUCCUCAUGGCCCUUACGGGCUGGGCUACACACGUGCUACAAGUGGUGGUGACAGUGGGCAGCGAAGGAGCGAUCCCGAGCUAAUCUCCAAAAGCCAUCUCAGUCGGAUUGCACUCUGCAACUCGAGUGCAUGAAGUCGGAAUCGCUAGUAAUCGCGGAUCAGACGCCGCGGUGAAUAC
rnacentral:rRNA from 1 species